AAGUCGUGACAAGGUUUCCGUAGGUGAACCUGCAGAAGGAUUAUCACGAGAGGACACUGCAAAGCGCACCACAACACUGUGUUACUGAGCGAUGAGUGCAGCAUGGCAAGCACCUGCUGCACACGUCUAUUGACACUAUGCAAACUGAACUAGCUGAACAGCAAGCAACCAACAAACACAACUGUUAGCAACGGAUCACUUGGUUCUC
rnacentral:misc_RNA from 1 species